UGCAGUCGAGCGGUAGAGAGGUGCUUGCACCUCUUGAGAGCGGCGGACGGGUGAGUAAUGCCUAGGAAUCUGCCUGGUAGUGGGGGAUAACGCUCGGAAACGGACGCUAAUACCGCAUACGUCCUACGGGAGAAAGCAGGGGACCUUCGGGCCUUGCGCUAUCAGAUGAGCCUAGGUCGGAUUAGCUAGUUGGUGAGGUAAUGGCUCACCAAGGCGACGAUCCGUAACUGGUCUGAGAGGAUGAUCAGUCACACUGGAACUGAGACACGGUCCAGACUCCUACGGGAGGCAGCAGUGGGGAAUAUUGGACAAUGGGCGAAAGCCUGAUCCAGCCAUGCCGCGUGUGUGAAGAAGGUCUUCGGAUUGUAAAGCACUUUAAGUUGGGAGGAAGGGCAGUUACCUAAUACGUAUCUGUUUUGACGUUACCGACAGAAUAAGCACCGGCUAACUCUGUGCCAGCAGCCGCGGUAAUACAGAGGGUGCAAGCGUUAAUCGGAAUUACUGGGCGUAAAGCGCGCGUAGGUGGUUCGUUAAGUUGGAUGUGAAAGCCCCGGGCUCAACCUGGGAACUGCAUUCAAAACUGACGAGCUAGAGUAUGGUAGAGGGUGGUGGAAUUUCCUGUGUAGCGGUGAAAUGCGUAGAUAUAGGAAGGAACACCAGUGGCGAAGGCGACCACCUGGACUGAUACUGACACUGAGGUGCGAAAGCGUGGGGAGCAAACAGGAUUAGAUACCCUGGUAGUCCACGCCGUAAACGAUGUCAACUAGCCGUUGGGAGCCUUGAGCUCUUAGUGGCGCAGCUAACGCAUUAAGUUGACCGCCUGGGGAGUACGGCCGCAAGGUUAAAACUCAAAUGAAUUGACGGGGGCCCGCACAAGCGGUGGAGCAUGUGGUUUAAUUC
rnacentral:rRNA from 1 species